UACGUAGGGUGCAAGCGUUAAUCGGAAUUACUGGGCGUAAAGCGUGCGCAGGCGGCUUUGCAAGACAGAUGUGAAAUCCCCGGGCUUAACCUGGGAACUGCAUUUGUGACUGCAUGGCUAGAGUGCGGCAGAGGGGAUGGAAUUCCGCGUGUAGCAGUGAAAUGCGUAGAUAUGCGGAGGAACACCGAUGGCGAAGGCAAUCCCCUGGGCCUGCACUGACGCUCAUGCACGAAAGCGUGGGGAGCAAACAGG
rnacentral:rRNA from 1 species